AAAAAGGGCGCUCGUCUUCAGCACAUUCCGUGUUUUACGAGAAAUGGUGCGGACGCAUUAUGCCGUUUGCUCGUUCCUACGCUCGUUGUGGGCGGGGGCGUGCGUCGAAUUGCCGCCUUCGAUGGGUUCAAGCGUGCAUAGUGGGGUAUGGCUUUGCAUAUCCAGUGCGUAAUUUUUGUUUUUGGGGCUAAGGUAGGCUGUACGAUGGAGGCGGCCGGAUAGCGGAGAGCUCUCUGCGUGCCGGCAGUCCGUGCGCUGAGCCCCA